AGUUGUUUUGGUUUUGUGGUGAUGUGGUAGUGAUCGUGACUGGGGACUUUCCUGGACUAUCCGAGGGUUUUGCUGGAGGGUAUACAGCGGUGUGACAAAGCCAACAGCUGGAGCAGGAAGAUCCUUCUUGGCGUAGAGGGCAGGGUGGUUAAGCAACUCUCUCAAGGGCCCCCGUGGGGGUGGAUUUAUCCCAGCAAAGCCAAUGCCUUCUGUCUCAAGGCCAGAGGCUUCUACGAGCUGCUUCCGGUGAUGGUGUCGCGGCUUAGCUCGUGUCAGCAGCCUACUUGGGGCCGAGGUUACUCCCGGACGAAAUGAGGGUGGCCAAAAUGCAGGUGAACACCAGUUUAGGAUGUCUUGGGUGCAACACAACCUCUACGUGGCAACAGACUUCACGGAGAUGCUGCCCCAGACCAGAGGGUUCACCAGGGCUCGUAAUCCCUCACGCAACGUCUGCAGGGAGAUCAGGCUUCUGGCUUUUCCAGACUACACUCUCAGGGAGUCCGGAUCUUUCACCGCACGGGGUCGCCCGAGAAAAAAAGGGAAAUCACUGCUGGAGUUCGAUCCUCGAGCACUGCAAAACCCACAAGGGAAGGAAAGAUCCAACCGGGCCACCUGUUGUCGCAAAAACACCAACCCCAGGACGCAAUCAUCUACAAUAUCCGCCACCAAAACAGUGACAUGAUGUAUGCAGUCCUCCAGUGCCAGUGUCACCUCCAGUUCUCCUAGGAUGGGGGAGCUUUGUCCAGUGGCUGUCGUUAGAACCCAUCGCACAGGGCGGAUUGGAGGCUGGGGAGACAUAGCCUCAUAUAUCCGGCGGCCAAUCAGGGUGUAAUUUGCCCCCGUAUCUACCACUACGUCACAGUCCACAUUAUUCACACGCCCCCUUACCACCAAGCCACGGGCCGAAUAAUCUAUCGACAUCCCAUUUUGGGGGCCUACCCGUGUUCCACGACACAAUGGGGCUCCAGCAUUGGACUCAGUAGUAGGUGCGGGAGGGUCCCCACCAUGACCACCAGCUCCUGUGUUCCCGGAACUCCGUCCACUAGACUCCGAUGGUCCCGUGGGUGCAGCACCUCCGCUUCCAGACGCGCUAUUCCAGGAACCUCCUCUCCUACGGUUCCAAUUUCCCCUGUACUGAUUCCUAGCAGGGGCAGAGGCCUCGCCUCUUUGAUCCGAGGAAGCUACUCCCUGAGCCCCCGCUACCGACUCGGAGGAGGAGGCGGUCUCCUGUCCCGCCAAGGCGGCUCUGGAGACAUUGCGGGAAGCCCGAUUGGCUUUCCGGGCAGCUUCAUAAUCCAGGGCUGCAUAAACAGCUUGUUCCAUAGAACACGGUCUUGUUAAUCUGACAAGGUCUUGUAAAUCCAGGUCCCACAAACCAUCCACGAACUGACCCAGGGCAAUCUUGUCGCGUGCAGCCUCUGGGCAGUCCCGAAAAGCGAGGCGCGUGAGCCUACGGAUCUCUAGAGCAAAAGCCCCUAUCUCCUCCCCGGGCUUCUGCCUACGGUUCCUCAAGUGGAGAUGUGACAAUCCCUGCUGGAACUCACGCCCAAACCGACUCCUCAAGGCCCGUACCAACUCGACCAGACUCCCCCGUUUAGCCGGUGGGAUUUCAGAGAGUACGGCUAAUGCAUCCCCCCUUAAAGAAGAGGCCAGCAUGAUGGCCUGUUCAGAGGCAUUCCAUCCGCGGGCCUUGGCGACCAUCUCAAAUUGCAAUAAGUAAUCUUCUAAGACUACUUUACCAUCAAAAUGGUCCACUUUCAAUUUUAGAUGGUUCAUGUCGCGAUUCAGCCGUGAAUUUCCUGGCCCAGUACCCCCUUCUAGAGUUUCAAAAGCUCUUUCUUCCAGGUACUGUUGAGAGGGCAAACGCCCAGUCCGAACCUGAGUCACCCGGAUCCCGGAUUCAGCAGGUAAGGCAUUAGGGGUUCCCUGAGGGGCGAUGACCUCAUCAUGGGUCGCAGGUAGUGGGUCAGAGGCCAAAAACCCCAGACGGCUGGAUUCCAAGGUCGCACGAUCUUCCUCCAAAAUUUGAGCGAUACUUGGGUAAUUUGCGGCCGCCACACGGCCACCAGGGGCUCCAGUUGAGCAGAGCUCAGGUGGUACCUGGAAAGAGGCCUCUUCCGGCGGUACUUGCCCAGCCGGUAGAGGAGCAUCUCCGGAUAAUCUUCCGGUCAUUUGGAAUGUCCAGAGACUGAUUUGCUGUCUCAAUUCCAUCAUCUCCCUGUCCGUGCGCUCAUUGCGCUGUCUUUGCAACUCCUCAUUGCGCUUUUGAAGGUCCAGGAUCCUAGUCAAAGUGGAGCUUUGACGGGCUUCAGAAUCUUCCUGCUGGGUGCGAAGUUCCUGCAGAAACCCAUCGUACCUCUCCAUCCUGUCCGUGAGCCAUUCCUUCAAUCCGUCCAAUAUCUGGCCGGCCUCAGCUGCCUCCAUACUCGCAAGUGGUCAGGCAAAUCCCACUUCUGACACCAGUGUUGUGGAUGGGACUUCCGGGAAGGCAGCUGAUCGCGGAAAAGGGGCUCGACGAUGAAUUCUGGAGGGAAUCUGUCCCCUUUGACAGAUGAACCAAUGACAACACAACCUUUUGUUUACUUCUGGGUUUUAUUAAAUUUCCACUAGGGGCGCUAUCAGCGCAAAUGUACAAAGUCGGUAAUGCAGGCAAAAUACAAGGUUAUGUCUUCAAGAGGCAAAUGUCAA